rnacentral:rRNA from 1 species
GGGUAACUCCGUGCCAGCGGGCGAGGUAAGAAGGAGGGUGCAAGCGGUGAUUGGAAGUAUUAGGCGUAAAGGGCAGGGAGGUGGUCGCGUUUGUCUGGGGUGGAAGCCUUGGGCGUAACUCAAGAAGGGCCCCAGAAACGGCGAGACUAGAGUACUGGAGAGGGUCGUGGAAUUCCCGGUGUAGCGGUGAAAUGCGUAGAGAUCGGGAGGAACACCAGCGGCGAAGGCGGCGACCUGGACAGUUACUGACACUCAACUGCGAAAGCGUGGGGAGCAAACAGGAUUAGAACCCGGGUAGUC